UUAAAGUGCAACCAUAAAUUUACGCGCCCAACUUUAACCGUCCGUCUUAUUUGUAAUUUUUUAUAAUUAGUAUUUUUAUUGUCAUGAGAUGAUAAAACAUAAAUAAUACUUUAUACGUGACUUAUGUUUUUAUUUUUUGAAAAAAUUUGAAAUAAGAUGGAGAGUCAAAGUUAUGCACGGAAAAUCAUGCACGGAUG
rfam:Oryza glaberrima chromosome 7 Oglab07_0110_7, whole genome shotgun sequence.